GAUGAACGCUGGCGGCGUGCCUAAUACAUGCAAGUCGAGCGAACAGACGAGGAGCUUGCUCCUCUGACGUUAGCGGCGGACGGGUGAGUAACACAUGGAUAACCUACCUAUAAGACUGGGAUAACUUCGGGAAACCGGAGCUAAUACCGGAUAAUAUAUUGAACCGCAUGGUUCAAUAGUGAAAGACGGUUUUGCUGUCACUUAUAGAUGGAUCCGCGCCGCAUUAGCUAGUUGGUAAGGUAACGGCUUACCAAGGCAACGAUGCGUAGCCGACCUGAGAGGGUGAUCGGCCACACUAGAACUGAGACACGGUCCAGACUCCUACGGGAGGCAGCAGUAGGGAAUCUUCCGCAAUGGGCGAAAGCCUGACGGAGCAACGCCGCGUGAGUGAUGAAGGUCUUCGGAUCGUAAAACUCUGUUAUUAGGGAAGAACAAAUGUGUAAGUAACUAUGCACGUCUUGACGGUACCUAAUCAGAAAGCCACGGCUAACUACGUG
rnacentral:rRNA from 1 species